rnacentral:rRNA from 1 species
AACGAACGCUGGCGGCAUGCCUAACGCAUGCAAGUCGAACGAGAUCUUCGGGUCUAGUGGCGCACGGGUGCGUAACGCGUGGGAAUCUGCCCUUUGGUUCGGAAUAACAGCUGGAAACGACUGCUAAUACCGGAUGAUGACGAAAGUCCAAAGAUUUAUCGCCAGAGGAUGAGCCCGCGUAGGAUUAGCUAGUUGGUGUGGUAAAGGCGCACCAAGGCGACGAUCCUUAGCUGGUCUGAGAGGAUGAUCAGCCACACUGGGACUGAGACACGGCCCAGACUCCUACGGGAGGCAGCAGUGGGGAAUAUUGGACAAUGGGCGAAAGCCUGAUCCAGCAAUGCCGCGUGAGUGAUGAAGGCCUUAGGGUUGUAAAGCUCUUUUACCCGGGAUGAUAAUGACAGUACCGGGAGAAUAAGCUCCGGCUAACUCCGUGCCAGCCGCCGCGGUAA